rnacentral:ncRNA from 1 species
UAAAUAAUAAAAAUUUUUAUAGUUUAAAAAUUUAUUAUAAAUUUAUUUUACAUAUAAAUUUUAGUGUUAAUUUUUAAUUAUUUUAAUAAUAAUUAAUUUUAGUUUAUAGUAAUUAAAAUUAAAAAUUUAAGAAAUUAAGAUUUAGUAAUAUUUUAAUUAAUAACUAAUUUUGUGCCAGCAGUUGCGGUUAUACAAAAAUUAAAUUAAAUUUUUUUAGGAAUUAAUAUGUAAAAUAAAUUUAUAAAUUUAAAAUUUAAAUUAUUAGGUGAAAUUUUAAUUUAUUAAAAAUUUACAAAGAAUUAUGAAUUAGGAAAUUUUAUUUAAAAACUAGGAUUAGAUACCCUAUUAUAAAAAUUUAAAUUAAUAAUACUAAAAUAGUAUAUAAUUAUUUAUAAAAACUUAAUUAAUUUGGCGGUAUUUUAGUUUAUUUAGAGGAAUCUGUUUAUUAAUUGAUAUUCCACGAAUAAAUUUACUUAAUUUAUUGAUUUUGUAUAUCGUUGUUAUAAAAAUAUUUUUAAAUAAUAAAUAAUAUUUUAAUUUUUAAAAAAAAAAUUAAAUCAAAUCAAGAUGCAGAUUAUAAUUAAGAAUAUAAUGGAUUACAAUAAAUUUAUUUUUGGAUAUAAAUUUUAAAAAUUAAUUGAAAUUGGAUUUAAAUGUAAUUUUAUUUAAUUUAUUAAAAUGAUUUAAAUUUAAAAUAUGUACAUAUUGCCCGUCGCUUUCAUUUAUAAAUUGAAAUAAGUCGUAACAAAGUAGAGGUACUGGAAAGUGUUUCUAGAAAGA